GGAAGUUUGGAUGACCAACUUCCAUAACUAGUGUUUUUACAGUGGACAAACUGUGUUUUUACAGUGGACAAACUGUUUAGCCUACUGUUUUUUGUCUAUUUUCCUUGACACAUUUUUUUAUAUAAUAUAACACAAUGUCGUGUUAUCAGAGAACAAUUACAAUGUUGACAUUGUAUGUGCGACUUUCGGUCACAGUAGCAGGAUGAUGCAAGAUGUAACGGAUUUCGGAGGUAGUGAAAGUUUUAGGACACAAACGAAUUCUUCAGGUAAAUUACAUUUCUUCGUGGAAGUCACUGUAUUCUUUAUUUUCCUCUGUUUUCAACUAGAAUAUAGGCAUAUAUUUCGGAUACAACGUCUACAACACCUCCCUUUUAAUUUGUAYGGGUUCUACAAUGUAACCCAUCAUGAAACUCCAUGCCAUUCCGCUAUCCUGGGGGACAGCAACGAUAAACAUCCCGCGUUCUGUAGCUCCCUACUCUCAUGGGGAACUUUACAGAACCCAUUUGGAAAUGGUCGACCUAGAGACUCUCCCAGACCAUUUCAUCACGACCCUGCUGGAAAAUCAGCGGAGCCGAGUUUGAAGAAGAUGGAUGGUUUGUUAUUAUCUACUCAGCAAACUUUUUAUCAGGUAUAUUUUAAUCCGGUAUUAUCCCUAGGGUAGCGAUAAGGGCAUAACAUCCAAAGUGACACUCAGCUGUAAGUAGCCAAUGAUUAAGCUGUUACAUAUGUUCAAACCCAUUGGGUCAUCAGAUGUGUACUGUCACUGUACGCUACUAUAUGUUAACUAAUGGUCCUUCACAGGACAACAAGGGCAAUGUGGUCCCUUGGCUUUCUGUGCUGAAGWKGGUCCUCUUUGUUCUUUGGCCCCAGCAGCAGGCCCCUGGGGACAGUCCCUCUAUGCCUCCAUAAGCCCAGAGCCGCAAGAGAAGCCUCACCAGAUACAUCACUGGUCACACUCUGCCUCAUGUUCAGAGUGAUGCACAGCCAUCAGCGUUUGGACUCACAUUUCACAAAUUUGCCCAGGUGGAGGUGGGGACUGAGUUCCCCCAUCUGACGUUCUUCCUGCUCAUCCACAACAUUGGGCCUCCAGGGGGCACCAACCUGUCCAAGCUGGCCAUCAGGGACUUCGUAUCUGGGAUAGCACCCCUGCAGAGUGGGGGGAUGGUGGUGGAGACAGGCUUCCAGACCUUCACCAUCGACUCACUUCCAGCUGGGUCUCAGUAUGUUGUGACGUAUACUGCCCUCAUCAAUGGUCACAAGAGUGAAAUUCUGGACCUUCCUAACGUUCUCCAAUGCCUCACUGAUUCAUCCCAAUCACGGUGUCCACUUUGCUGGGUUUGUUGGGGGAUUCUUCCUAUCCUUGUUGCUGCUGUCCCUAGGAUUUCUGGCCAUGAACCUGAUAUGUGCCAGAGCCAGGAAAACCUCUCUGCAGUGAAGGAAAAAGCAAGGUGAUUCAGACCCUAAGUAUGCAGUGUGCAACAUGAGCGAGACGGCCAAGGAAGAGGCGGCAUUCGAGGACAAGAUGGUGGACAUUAUGGUGCUGGAAGACCCCCAGAACAUGUAUCAAGCUCUGGAGAAGUAUGGCUACACCAGCAGAUAUAUUGCUUUAUUACUUGUCACAAGCGUAUAUGAGCCUUUAUUGUUCUAAUGUCUGCUUUCAACUCAUACUCUCAAACACGUAGAUCCCCUGAACGCAGCUCACUUUCCAGCUCACUCUCAAACUCAUAGAUCCCCUGAAUSCAGCUCACUCUCCAGAUCCCAAUCACCUGAAUUCUAAUCACCUGUUCACACACCUGUAUGUCAUUAUCACACACUAUUUAGUUCAGUUCUUUGUACCCCAUGUGAGGUAUUGUUUGUUUUGUGACACACUUCUUUCGUAACUCUGUUUUUCCCGUGAUUUACUCCUCCCGUGUAUGAUAGUUUUUGCCUGCCUCACAAACRACGCCUUUUGCCUAUUCCCUGCCUGUACU